rnacentral:lncRNA from 1 species
ACAGUUUUGAAAACAUUUUCUGAAGCAUUGUUACACGUGAUGUCUUAGUUUUUUUUUUCUUUUUUUGUCAAGUCUUAGUUCUUUUUUGUUUUUCUUUGUUUUCUCAAGUAUCGAAAAAGUCGUCUGUUGUUGACUCCCCUGCAUACUACCUACAUUUUGAGUGUUUAACUUACAUAUCUUUCCCACAAAUUUCUCAUAUUUAUACACGUCAACAGCAAAAGAUAUUAGAUUGCGCAAUU